CCCUUGUUAGCUCAGUUGGUAGAGCGCUCCACUGGUAAUGGAGAGGUCCCGGGUUCGAUACCCGGACCAGGCG
rnacentral:tRNA from 2 species